rnacentral:rRNA from 1 species
CACCACAUAAUGAGAGUAGCGCACUGGUGAGUAACACGUGGGAACAUACCUUGAAGUGGGGGACAACAGAGGGAAACUUCUGCUAAUACCGCAUAAUCCCUGAGGGGGAAAGAUUUAUCGCUUUAAGAUUGGCCCGCGGAAGAUUAGGUAGUUGGUGGGGUAAAGGCCUACCAAGCCGACGAUCUAUAGCUGGUCUGAGAGGACGAACAGCCACAUUGGAACUGAGACACGGUCCAGACUCCUACGGGAGGCAGCAG